rnacentral:rRNA from 1 species
GGAUCAAUAUGUUGGUCGUGCCUUGGUACGUACUAGCUCAUUGGUUUCUCCCUUCUGACGAACCAUGAUGUCAUUAAUUUGAUGUCAUGGGGAAUCAGGACUUGUUACUUUGAAAAAUUAGAGUGUUUAAAGCAGGCUCGCGCUUGAAUACAUUAGCAUGGAAUAAUGAAAUAGGACAUUUGAUUCUAUUUUGUUGGUUUCUAGGAUCGAUGUAAUGAUUAA